AUGCCAGUUGGUGUCAAAGGGGUGACAGACAAUAGUAGCGAGACAUCCUCAGCAUUAAUACACUUCAAGAGGAAGAAGGCACAUAAGACUGUUGUAGAAGGUCCUCGCCGCAUGACGCGGAGCCAGAAGGGUUCAGAUCAUGAAGAACUUGGGUCAAGCAAUGGGGGGUCUUACAAUCCCCUAUCAGAUAGCACUCCUUGUCCUUCUGAGAAUGAGAUAGAACUUCACCAUGGUGCAGAGCAUACAGAACAAGUCCUAGCUGCGAAUGAAACUCGUCCCGUUGAGGAGCAAUUAGCCAACCUUACAGCAGCGCUUUGGCAAAAGGAAGACAAGCUAGCAGCCCUUCGAAUUCAUAUGAGCAAUAACCAGAGCAAAGGAAAUGAAGGGGAUGGGGGCGCAAGUGCUAGCAGCCAACAUGGAGGAGCAUGGCUUAACCUUGAGGCGAUCCAAAGAAUGAUCGCUGAAGGGGUAAAGUCGCAAUUAAUGCAAACUCAGUACUCGAUGUGUCCAGGGUAUGUUAAGCCGUACCCACCUGAUGUGGACCUAGUUCCUUUCCCAACAAAUUAUAGGCAGCUGCAGUUUAGUAAGUUCAACGGGAGUGGAUCUCCCCAUGAGCACAUAGCACACUUUCUUGCUGCUUGUCAGGAUACAGCUAACAACGGAGCACUUCUCCUUAGGCAGUUUGUACAUACAUUGUCUGGGCCUGCCUUCACUUGGUACAGCAAGUUGCCUCCAAGCUCUAUAAAAACGUGGGAACAAAUGCAAAACUCAUUCCUCAAGAGGUUUUAUAGCACACAGAGGACGGUGGGCAUAACUGAGUUGACCCAAACUGAACAAGGGUUCAACGAGAGGGCGGCUGAUUUCAUAAAUAGAUGGAGAAACCUAAGUCUUCAUUGCCCACAGCCAAUCACUAAGCCAGAAGCAGUGCGCAUGUGCAUGAACAAUCUCCGCUCAGAAGUGGCUGUCUAG
rnacentral:rRNA from 1 species